rnacentral:lncRNA from 1 species
ACCACAUUUUCAAAAAAAAAAACUAUUACAUAACACUUUACAACUUCAUUCUUCAUAAACCAAAUUGAAACGAAAAAAAGGAUUGAAGGGCAAGAUGGUCAUUUGCCUUGAAAAAAAUGUAUAAUGUUGAAGCCCUUGGGGUAAUAUACCAAUAAUAAUGCCUACUAAUGUAACUUUGACAUCAACAAAGUCAAAGAUCCUUUUUGAAUAAAUAUAAUAUUAAAUAUACUAUUAAUUUACAAGAAAAAAAAAAAAAAAAAGGUGAACAGAAAAGUUUCGCCAGUUACAUUUGUGCCACCAAACUUUUUUUAACUUUCUUUGCUUUCCUACAUUUGCCACCGGUAGACUUAAAACUUAGUUAUCCUUAUCUUCUAAUUUUGCCACCGCCCCUCUUCACCAUCUUUCCUCACCAAUCAGAUGCAAAAAAAAAAAAAAAAAAAACCCUUCUCUAUCCUUCUUCUACCUUCCUUCCAAUUUUCCUUCUUCUACCUUCCUUCUAAUUUAGGGGGGGUUUUGGAUAGGAAAAAAAUAGGUGUUUAUUGCUUAUUCCCACAAUAAACUAAUUUGAGUGUUUGGAUCAAAUUCAGCUUAUUAGGUUAAAUAAGCUAAUUUUAAUAAGCAUUCAUUCUCAUGCUUAUUGCUUAUUGCUUGCCACAAAUAAGCUAUAAGCUAAAAAUCUAAUCCAAACACCCCGUAUUUCUCCGUCUUUCUUUUCUCCAUUUGGACCUCCACCUUCCCGGUGAUAGUGGUCUGCGAAACCCAACCUCCCAAAAACCCUUUUUCCUUUCACUUACUGUAAUCGACUGGGAGUUUGUUUCAUCCGCUUGACGCGUUCGACUGGGAAAUCAAAAACACAUACCGGUGCUGAUGAUGGUGGUGGUGCGAUCGCGGUUGUUUCCGGUGGCGGUCCCGAUAGAUUAGAACAGAACUACAGGAGAGCAAAAGAAGGAUCCGGGAUUAAUCGAAGAAAGUGAUUCAAUUUACAUGAAAAAGGUAAAGAUAUUUAUCAGCGAAAAUAUCAUAAAAUCAAUCAAUCAAUCUUCGAAUUAAACAGAACCCUAGUCGAAAUUGAUAGAAUUUAGCAGCAACAGAUUCGAAUUUUAGCAACCCUAGUGAUUUGUUUUCUGAUGAUAUCAAUCGGAAUAUGAACGACGUCGUAUAUGUGGUGAGUUGGAGAAGAACUGAGGAAAUGUCGUCGGCAAGCAUGGAUGCGCUGCUUUGGACUCUCGGCAACAAUCUUAAUGACGAGUCCACGUUUCCUUCUUACUCCUCGUAAGCACACAAUCAUAUUACUGUUUACUGAAUUUUGUUUGCCAUAUUCGAUCGUCAUAAAAACACCCAUAACACUUUCAACAAUAAUUGGAUCCAAAGACUGACCUUCUUUCCUUUGUACUGCAGACUACCUAUCCAGCGAUGUAAAGCCAAUGGAAACAGGAUAAGAAGAAAACGGGAGCAAUGGAGCAGAGAUCAAAACAUUGAAAGGAAGUGCGUUUUCUUUUAUCUUUUAGCAGCAGAAGAUGAUUCACUCUUCUGUACCACUUCCUGUCGAUGCUUUUAUUGACAGAUUAGAUGAUUUUUCUUUGGAUUACUGCUCACGCUACAGUUCAUCAUUUAUAUCAUCUCCUGAUAUUUUGCUCGACUGCCUAGAGAGAUACAUGUAUGUUGACAAGGUAUAUCUCUCGAUUCUUGCUGAAAGUAAAUUAUAUUUUUUCUUUAUAAAUUCAACUUAAUAUGGUUGUGGAAGUGGAACAUGGUGUUUGUAGGGUUUAAAUGUGCAUUUCAUUGAAAUUAGUGACAGGGUCUUUAUUUUAGUUUUAGUUUUUAACUAGCUGCAACAAACUUUUUCUUUCUUAUAAUGGAAGAUUG